GCCUCCUUAGCUCAGUCGGCAGAGCGUUUCCAUGGUAAGGAAAAGGUCGAGAGUUCGAUUCUCUCAGGGGGCU
rnacentral:tRNA from 1 species